CAAACGGCUCUUUUCAGAGCCACCCAUUGUUUUCAAAGAGAUCGCCG
rfam:Ciona savignyi cont_6440, whole genome shotgun sequence.